UGCCACAAGAUGAUGUAAAAAGCGUAUGUC
rnacentral:piRNA from 2 species